AGAGUUUGAUCCUGGCUCAGGACGAACGCUGGCGGCGUGCCUAAUACAUGCAAGUCGAGCGAGCUUGCCUAGAUGAUUUUAGUGCUUGCACUAAAUGAAACUAGAUACAAGCGAGCGGCGGACGGGUGAGUAACACGUGGGUAACCUGCCCAAGAGACUGGGAUAACACCUGGAAACAGAUGCUAAUACCGGAUAACAACACUAGACGCAUGUCUAGAGUUUGAAAGAUGGUUCUGCUAUCACUCUUGGAUGGACCUGCGGUGCAUUAGCUAGUUGGUAAGGUAACGGCUUACCAAGGCAAUGAUGCAUAGCCGAGUUGAGAGACUGAUCGGCCACAUUGGGACUGAGACACGGCCCAAACUCCUACGGGAGGCAGCAGUAGGGAAUCUUCCACAAUGGACGAAAGUCUGAUGGAGCAACGCCGCGUGAGUGAAGAAGGGUUUCGGCUCGUAAAGCUCUGUUGGUAGUGAAGAAAGAUAGAGGUAGUAACUGGCCUUUAUUUGACGGUAAUUACUUAGAAAGUCACGGCUAACUACGUGCCAGCAGCCGCGGUAAUACGUAGGUGGCAAGCGUUGUCCGGAUUUAUUGGGCGUAAAGCGAGUGCAGGCGGUUCAAUAAGUCUGAUGUGAAAGCCUUCGGCUCAACCGGAGAAUUGCAUCAGAAACUGUUGAACUUGAGUGCAGAAGAGGAGAGUGGAACUCCAUGUGUAGCGGUGGAAUGCGUAGAUAUAUGGAAGAACACCAGUGGCGAAGGCGGCUCUCUGGUCUGCAACUGACGCUGAGGCUCGAAAGCAUGGGUAGCGAACAGGAUUAGAUACCCUGGUAGUCCAUGCCGUAAACGAUGAGUGCUAAGUGUUGGGAAGUUUCCGCCUCUCAUUGCUGCAGCUAACGCAUUUAAGCACUUCGCCUGGGGGAGUAGGGCCGACAAGGUUGAAACUCAAAGGAGUGGACGGAGGCCCGCACAAGCGGUGGAGCAUGUGGUUUAAUUUGAAGCAACGCGAAGAACCUUACCAGGCCUUGACAUCGGGAUGGCGUGGGCGUAACGGCUUAUUCCCCUCGGGGCAUCAGAGACAGGUGGUGCGUGGUUGUCGUCAGCUCGUGUCGUGAGAUGUUGGGUUAAGUCCCGCAACGAGCGCAACCCUUAUUCCCAGUAGCCAGCAUUUUGGAUGGGCGCUCUGGGGAGACUGCCGGGGAAGACCCGGAGGAAGGCGGGGAUGACGUCAAAUCAUCAUGCCCCUUAUGGCCUGGGCUACACACGUGCUACAAUGGCGCAUACAAAGGGAGGCGAAGGAGCGAUCUGAAGCAAAUCCCAGAAAAGGCGCCCCAGUUCGGAUUGCAGCCUGCAACUCGGCUGCAUGAAGCUGGAAUCGCUAGUAAUCGCGGAUCAGAAUGCCGCGGUGAAUACGUUCCCGGGUCUUGCACAAACGGCCCGUCA
rnacentral:rRNA from 1 species